rnacentral:rRNA from 1 species
AUCCUACGGGAGGCAGCAGUAGGGAAUAUUGGUCAAUGGAUGCAAGUCUGAACCAGCCAUGCCGCGUGCAGGAAGAAGGCCCUAUGGGUUGUAAACUGCUUUUGCCAGGGGAUAAAAUGAGCUUGCGAGCUUAAUUGAAGGUACCUGGUGAAUAAGCCACGGCUAACUACGUGCCAGCAGCCGCGGUAAUACGUAGGUGGCAAGCGUUGUCCGGAUUUAUUGGGUUUAAAGGGUGCGUAGGCGGUCCUAUAAGUCAGUGCUGAAAUAUCCCGGCUUAACCGGGAGGGUGGCAUUGAUACUGCAGGACUUGAGUAAAGUUGAGGUUGGCGGAAUUGACGGUGUAGCGGUGAAAUGCUUAGAUAUCGUCAAGAACACCUAUUGCGAAGGCAGCUAACUAAGCUUUAACUGACGCUGAGGCACGAAAGUGUGGGGAUCAAACAGGAUUAGAUACCCUGGUAGUCCACACUGUAAACGUUGAUUACUCGCUGUUGGCGAUACACAGCUCAGCGGCUUAGCGCAAGCGAUAAGUAAUUCCCACCUGGGAUUCGCCGAAGGGCC